AAAUGGGGGAUUCUCGAAGAGAAAACGCGUGAUUUUCGCUUAAAUGGGGGAUUUGCGAAGAGAAAACGCGUGAUUUUCGCUUAAAUGGGGGAUUUGCGAAGAGAAAACGCGUGAUUUUUGCUUAAAUAGGGGAUUCUCGAAGAGAAAACGCGUGAUUUUCACUUAAAUGGGGGAUUUCUGAAGAGAAAAUGCAUGAUAUUCACUUAAAUGGGAAAUUUGCGAAGAGGAAACAUGUUAUUUUCACUUAAAUGGGGGAUUCUCGAA
rnacentral:lncRNA from 1 species